rnacentral:tRNA from 1 species
GAGGGUAUAAUUCAGUGGUAGAGUGUGUGCCAGGCAUGCACGAGGUCCUGGGUUCAAACCCUAAUACCUCCA